ensembl:lncRNA
GCACGAUCGCUGCGCUCGCCCAGCGCAUCAGGUGACGCGUGGGAGCAACGCGCUUCUCGUCGGGACAAGUUCACGAGCUGGAAAUGUCGCGGUUUGAGGCGUUAAUAAUAUUGCUCUCUUGUUGCCAGUUGUCGCGCCACAAUUACCUGCCGCACAGAUCAAUGGCCUUUCAGCAGGGAACAUGAAAGGGGAGGACAUGUUUUCUGUCCGACAAACAGUGUGGACGUCGUUCUAGUUGCUCGGAGAAAAUCCGACGACAACGCGGGAAGCUCGUUGGCAUCAGAUCCAAAGUCGGAAACGGACAAUCUGUUGGCCGCGUCCCGUUCGCCUGUGAAACGAAAGCUUUGCUCCCCCUGAGGCUAAAAAGGCCGUCUCCUGAACCAGGAGAAAUAAUGAUGCUGCUACUCUGUAGGCUGUAACGUGCGGAUGUCAAAAGGACAGAGAGUCAUUACGGGAUUAAGUUGGCGUGACAUCUGAUCGUGAUCCCACGGAGCACGGCGGAGGACUCUCAUUACCGCUCACACAGACUACGAUGAACCUGCUCGGGCCGCUCCGUGUGACCUCCGCUCUCAAAUCACCAUUCCCUUCCCCAUGAGGGGGAUGACUAUGAAUUUAGCUCUUUGGUGCAGGAAGUGAAAUCAUCUUUGGGGGUUUAGAUCUUCAUGUGCGGAGAAUAAAGAAACUCAAUAAACAAAUCGAGAGGAGAGCAUGUGGAACAAAUGACAAUUUGUAACAGAUUCGGUUCUUUUUCGGAGUCUGAUCGAUCACGUCACACGGAAAAGGAAGCAAUAGGCUCGCACCAGGAAGUGCAAUCGAUGCGUGUCUUCUACCUGCGGUAUCCCACGGGAAAAAAAAAAGAAAAGGGAAAAAGAUGCCCAUGUGCUUCAGAUACGUCCCUGAAUUACAUCCUUUGGCUCCACGUGUUCACUCGGUGACAUCAGUGUGCUUCAGGUACCUUAUUUCUUACCUCUGCUGAUUGCCUCCUCCGGGGCUUAAUGUUGCCAACUUGUUGUCAACCCCAAGUUUUCUUACCAGGAAGCGACUGAAGAAACCCCAAUUAAAGUGUGCUCUCAAUGUCACAGCAACAUUCCCUCAUCAUCCAUUAAAAUGCCG